GAUCUACUUGGAUUUUGCCAAGGCAUUUGAUAUGGUUCCUCACAAUAGGUUAUCCUUCAAACUAAAAGAAAUUGGUCUAGAUGAAUAUUCUUGUUCUUGGGUAGAACUCAAGGACCACUCUAGGCACCCAGACCACUUCAGCUUAAUGAAGUGGUCUGGGUGCCAGGUCCAGCUAGGUUUAACCCAUUUUUUCAUAAACAUAGCAGUUUCAGAGAAACUGCUAUGUUUAUGAAUGGGUUAAGC